rnacentral:rRNA from 1 species
GACGAGAGGUGCAAAUGUUAUUCAUCAUGACUGGACGUAAAGGGCGGGUAGCUUGAAUAAUAAGUUAGAAAUAAAAAAAAUUGGAUUUCAAUUCCUAUAAUAUAUUUAAAAACUAUUAUUCUUAGAGUGUAAAAAUAUGAUUUAUAUGUAUUCUUAAUGGAGAGGUGACAUUUUUUAGAUAUUAAGAGGACAGUCACUAGGCGAAAGGCUUUAUAUCAAAUUUUUUAUACUGACAGUGAUUUUCUGCUAAAAGCAACAGGGGAGCAAAACAGGGAUUAGAUACCCCCU